rnacentral:lncRNA from 1 species
GACCAGUUCAUACAAAAAUGGUAUAGUGAUUUACACACCACAUCACGUGGACAAUUUUAUUCACUGUUCAAAAAGAGAUUUGAAAUAGAAAGAUACCUUAUUAAUUUACCAGAGUCAUCUAGAAUUUGGAUUUCAAAAUUCAGAACUGCAAACUUACGAUUGCCUAUAGAAACUGGUAGAUGGUACAAUAUACCAAAAUCAGAAAGAAAAUGUAAUUUAUGCAAAGAGGAUAUUGGUGAUGAGUAUCAUGUAUUAUUUAUUUGUAAAAAUGCAGAGAUAGUAGAUUUGAGAAACAAAUAUUUACCACAG